GCUUGUCUCAAAGAUUAAGCCAUGCAUGUUCAAGUAUAGCAAGUGUACAGUGAAACUGCGAAUGGCUCAUUAAAUCAGUUAUAGUCUACUCGAUAGUACCUUACUACUUGGAUAACCGUAGUAAUUCUAGAGCUAAUACAUGCGUAAAUACCCAACUGCUUGUCGGACGGGUAGCAUUUAUUAGAUUGAAACCAAUGCAGCUUCGGCUGGUAUUGUGUUGAGUCAUAAUAACUGUGCGGAUCGCUUUUUAAGCGAUAAAUCGAUUGAGUUUCUGCCCUAUCAGCUUUGGAUGGUAGGAUAUGGGCCUACCAUGGCGUUAACGGGUAACGGGGAAUUAGGGUUUGAUUCCGGAGAGGGAGCCUUAGAAACGGCUACCACAUCCAAGGAAGGCAGCAGG
rnacentral:rRNA from 1 species